UUUGAAAAGGUGAAGGGUUAACUUCAAGAAGGUAAAGAAGAGGUGUGUGAAGGUGAUGGACAAGAAUGGCAUAAUGAAGGGGUUACUUUUGGACCCAUUUCUCAGCAUUUAAUUACUGAAUUUUAAGUUUUACAUGUGCAUUUCCAAACUAAUUUUGAAUAAAAUGGAAGUAGGUCACUUACAAAGUGUUGAGAUGUGUGUAUUGUAGAUGAGUUCGGAAAUUUAUUUCUAAAAUUAAAGAUAUUUUUUUAUUUCUUUACAGUGGUGAAAUAGCACCUCAUAG
rnacentral:lncRNA from 1 species